AAAACAAUGCAAAUCCUCAAGAAUUACAUAUGCACUACAACAAAAUUUGCCUUAACGGGAUGGUACUGACUUUCAUACAGGUGCUGCAUGGCUGUCGUCAGCUCGUGUCGUGAGAUGUUUGGUCAAGUCCUAUAACGAGCGAAACCCUCGUUUUGUGUUGUUGAGACA